UUACAUAGUUCAGUUGGUUAAGAACAUAAGACUCUUAAGAUUAGGGUUGUGGGUUCGUGCCCCACAUUGGGCAAAA